rnacentral:rRNA from 1 species
UGAGGAAUAUUGGUCAAUGGGCGAGAGCCUGAACCAGCCAAGUAGCGUGCAGGAUGACGGCCCUAUGGGUUGUAAACUGCUUUUAUGCGGGGAUAAAGUGCGGCACGUGUGCCGUUUUGUAGGUACCGCAUGAAUAAGGACCGGCUAAUUCCGUG